AAGGACCCGGUGCGAACCCGGGUGGCUAUGCCGGCCGCCGAUCCGCCGGACAAC
rnacentral:ncRNA from 1 species